rnacentral:rRNA from 1 species
GAUGAACGCUGGCGGCGUGCCUAACACACGCAAGUCGAGCGAUGGAUUUUCUUCGGAAAUGGAUUAGCGGCGAACGGGUGAGGAACACGUGAAGAAUCUGCCCUCCACUUUGGGAUAACACAGGGAAACCUGUGCUAAUACCGAAUAUUGAAACAUAAGUGGCAUCACUGAGUUUUGAAAGAAUUUCGGUGGAGGAUGACUUCGCGGCCUAUCAGCUAGUUGGUGAGGUAAUGGCUCACCAAGGCAACGACGGGUAGCCGGCCUGAGAGGGCGACCGGCCACACUGGGACUGAGACACGGCCCAGACUCCUACGGGAGGCAGCAGUGGGGAAUAUUGGGCAAUGGAGGAAACUCUGACCCAGCGACGCCGCGUGCGGGAUGAAGGCCUUCGGGUUGUAAACCGCUUUCAGUAGGGAAGAAGCGAAAGUGACGGUACCUACAAAAGAAGCACCGGCUAACUAUGUGCCAGCCGCCGCAGUAA